rnacentral:rRNA from 1 species
AGAUUGAACGCUGGCGGCAUGCCUUACACAUGCAAGUCGAACGGCAGCACGGGAGCAAUCCUGGUGGCGAGUGGCGAACGGGUGAGUAAUAUAUCGGAACGUGCCCAGUCGUGGGGGAUAACGCAGCGAAAGCUGUGCUAAUACCGCAUACGAUCUAUGGAUGAAAGCGGGGACCUAAGGCCUCGCGCGAUUGGAGCGGCCGAUAUCAGAUUAGGUAGUUGGUACGGGGUAAAGCUCACCAAGCCAACGAUCUGUAGCUGGUCUGAGAGGACGACCAGCCACACGUGGGACUGAGACCACGGCCCAGACCUACCGUACGGGAGCAGCGAGGUGGGUAAUUUUGGAACAAGUGGACG